UUUUGUUUAUAAUGGUACGAGUAUUUAGAAUUCAAAUUUUAUGUGAAUUGAUUGUAUGAUUUAUUGGUCAUAUCACUUUGACGAUUAAUGUAGCACUUCGUAUUCAGAUCAGACAUCCCUACAUGCUCAUUCGAACAUAAUUUUAUCUCCCCUUAUUUGCUCGAAAAAUUCAAAAAGUUCGAACAAGAAGAACCAACUUGUAGUGUUGAG
rnacentral:lncRNA from 1 species